rnacentral:rRNA from 1 species
AUACCCCAUAAUAUUUAGAAUGGCAUCAUUUUAAAUUGAAAACUCCGGUGGAUAGAGAUGGGCACGCGCAAGAUUAGAUAGUUGGUGAGGUAACGGCUCACCAAGUCUGCGAUCUUUAGGGGGCCUGAGAGGGUGAUCCUCCACACUGGUACUGAGACACGGACCAGACUCCUACGGGAGGCAGCAGUGAGGAAUAUUGGACAAUGGGUGCGAGCCUGAUCCAGCCAUCCCGCGUGAAGGACGACUGCCCUAUGGGUUGUAAACUUCUUUUGUAUAGGGAUAAACCUACCCUCGUGAGGGUAGCUGAAGGUACUAUACGAAUAAGCACCGGCUAACUCCGUGCCAGCAGCCGCGGUAAUACGGAGGGUGCAAGCGUUAUCCGGAUUUAUUGGGUUUAAAGGGUCCGUAGGCGGAUCUGUAAGUCAGUGGUGAAAUCUCACAGCUUAACUGUGAAACUGCCAUUGAUACUGCAGGUCUUGAGUGUUGUUGAAGUAGCUGGAAUAAGUAGUGUAGCGGUGAAAUGCAUAGAUAUUACUUAGAACACCAAUUGCGAAGGCAGGUUACUAAGCAACAACUGACGCUGAUGGACGAAAGCGUGGGGAGCGAACAGGAUUAGAUACCCUGGUAGUCCACGCCGUAAACGAUGCUAACUCGUUUUUGGGAUGUAAGUUUCAGAGACUAAGCGAAAGUGAUAAGUUAGCCACCUGGGGAGUACGUUCGCAAGAAUGAAACUCAAAGGAAUUGACGGGGGCCCGCACAAGCGGUGGAUUAUGUGGUUUAAU